rnacentral:rRNA from 1 species
CAGUAGCCGCGGGAAAACGGAGGGUGCAAGCGUUAAUCGGAAUUACUGGGCGUUAAGCGCACGCAGGCGGUUUGUUAAGUCAGAUGUGAAAUCCCCGAGCUUAACUCGGGAACUGCGUUUGAAACUGGCAGGCUAGAGUCUCGUAGAGGGGGGUAGAAUUCCAGGUGUAGCGGUGAAAUGCGUAGAGAUCUGGAGGAAUACCGGUGGCGAAGGCGGCCCCCUGGACGAAGACUGACGCUCAGGUACGAAAGCGUGGGGAGCAAACAGGAUUAGAGACCCCUGUAGUCCCUGUCUCUUAUAC